GACGAACGCUGGCGGCGUGCUUAACACAUGCAAGUCGAACGAUGAUGCUGGCGCCUGCUCCAGUUGAUUAGUGGCGAACGGGUGAGUAACACGUGAGCAAUCUGCCCUUGACUCUGGGAUAACUGCGGGAAACCGUAGCUAAUACCUGAUACUUUCACCGGAAGGCAUCUUCUGCUGAUGAAAGAAUUUCGGUCAGGGAUGAGCUCUCGGCCUAUCAUCUUGUUGGUGAGGUAACGUAUCACCAAGGCGACGACGGGUAGCAGGCCUGAGAGGGUGACCGGCCACACUGGGACUGAGACACGGCCCAGACUCCUACGGGAGGCAGCAGUAGGGAAUAUUGCACAAUGGGCGCAAGCCUGAUGCAGCAACGCCGCGUGAGGUAUGAAGGCCUUCGGGUUGUAAACCUCUUUUAGCAGGGAAGAAGCGAAAGUGACGGUACCUGCAGAAAAAGCACCGGCUAACUACGUGCCAGCCGCCGCCGUAA
rnacentral:rRNA from 1 species